GUGAUCCAAAGAGCAAGAGGGCAAAAGUCAUGAGGCUCUUGCAAAAAUCCAAGCGAGAAAUAACAGUGGCUUGAACCUGACUGGAAGUGACAGAGGAAUGGUUGGAGUCUGCUAUGUUGUGAAGGUAGAGCCAACGGGAUCUGUUGACACAUUGGCCAGGAGAUGUGAAAGAAAGGGACGAGGGCAAUGGGAUGGUAAAGGCGUUUGGUCUGAGCAACCAGAAGGGUGAAGUUGACCUGCCCGGAGAUCCUGAGAUGCAUAUCUCAAUUUGGGCCAGAUCCCCGCGCCGGGCGUCGAGGGCUCUGUUGCCUGUCUCACGUUCUUCCCUGCACUGGAAGGAGCCAGGGCUACCCGCCGGCGUGCAGGGAUUCGGUGCUGGCGCCUGCCUGGCUACGGAAGGAGCUUGUGGGGGGACCCUCGCACAUGAUCUGCUGCAUGUGGGGACCAGGAUGGCUUGCUGGGAGAGUCUCAGAACCCGCAGACCUCAGAAGUGCCACUUGCCUCUACGCGUGCAUUGGCCUCGCCCCACUCCUCAGUCUCUCUCGCAAACCACCUCUUCACCUGAAGACCUCUUCUCUCCAAAUCCACUUGCCAACAAGCCCAGUUAAGCCUGAAUUAAGGGCAUAGGAAACACAUGGAGUUCAGAUGAUUUCCUAAAAAACAAAAAACAAAAAACAAAAAAAACCAGUCAGCUCACUUACUGAGCACUUGCUGUAUGCUGGCCCGUUACAAAGGCUGCCUCCUUCCUCAUGGCACGCAGGGACACCGGUUGUCCCCUCUGCCCCCCGCCCCUCCAGGAGAGGGGCCUGAAAUUCAAGCAGGUCAACGUCACAACUGGGAAACAAGCCUGGGCAUUUGACUGGACUAGUUCUAGCUACCAGAAAGUUCUCUCUGGGGAGGGGGAAGCAGGAGCAGUUACUUCCAUUUGCAUAAACAAACACUGAAGGACACAUAGAAGCUAAUGUGACUACAUAUGGGAGGGAAUGGGGAGGAAUGGGGUACAGGAGGUUUCUCAAGGUAUAUCCCUGGGUAUUACGUUGAUAUGAUAACCAAUAUAUCCAUAUGAUAACCAUAUCCAUAUAACCAUAUCUAAUAA